GACAGAGGUCCCGAGCGUUAGGCGGAAUCACUGGGCUUAAAGCGUGUGUAGGCGGAUUUGUAAGUACCUUGUGAAAUCCCACAGCUUAACUGUGGAACUGCUUGGUAUACUGCUUAUCUUGGGCCACUUAGGGGUUACCGGAACAAACGGUGGAGCGGUGAAAUGCGUAGAUAUCGUUUGGAACGCCAAUGGUGAAAACAGGUAACUGGGAGUGUGCCGACGCGGAGAUACGAAAGCCAGGGGAGCGAACGGG
rnacentral:rRNA from 1 species